GCGUUAAUCGGAAUUACUGGGCGUAAAGCGCGCGUAGGCGGCUUUGCAAGUCGGGUGUGAAAUCCCCAGGCUUAACCUGGGAACUGCAUUCGAGACUGCAUUGCUAGAGUAUGGGAGAGGGAAGUGGAAUUUCCGGUGUAGCGGUGAAAUGCGUAGAUAUCGGAAGGAACAUCAGUGGCGAAAGCGACUUCCUGGACCAAUACUGACGCUCAUGUGCGAAAGCGUGGGGAGCAAACAGG
rnacentral:rRNA from 1 species